rnacentral:rRNA from 1 species
GACAGAGGUGCCAAGCGUUAGGCGGAAUCACUGGGCUUAAAGCGUGUGUAGGUGGAUGCCUAAGUACCUUGUGAAAUCCCACGGCUUAACCGUGGAACUGCUCGGUAUACUGGGUGUCUUGAGCUGUCUAGGGGCUACCGGAACAAGUGGUGGAGCGGUGAAAUGCGUAGAUAUCACUUGGAACGCCAAUGGUGAAAACAGGUAGCUGGGGACAUGCUGACACUGAGACACGAAAGCCAGGGGAGCAAACGGG